AAUAACUUUAUUUUUUAGUUUUUAGAUAUAAUGUUUUGACUCUUUGUUUUAUUUAAAAAAAUUUUGCGAUUAAUAUUUUUAUUAUUACUAGAUGAUAAAACAUGAAUAGUAAUUUAUGCGUGACUAAUUUUUUAAAGUUUUUAUACAAUUUUUUAAAUAAGACAAAUGGUCAAAUGUUGGAUACAUAAAUC
rnacentral:pre_miRNA from 1 species